rnacentral:rRNA from 1 species
CCCUUAGAUGUCCUGGGCCGCACGCGCGCUACACUGAUGCAUGCAACGAGUUUAUAACCUUGGCCUGAAAGGUCUGGGUAAUCUUUUGAACGUGCAUCGUGAUAGGGAUAGAUUAUUGCAAUUGUUAAUCUUGAACGAGGAAUUCCUAGUAAACGCGAGUCAUCAGCUCGCAUUGAUUACGUCCCUGCCCUUUGUACACACCGCCCGUCGCUCCUACCGAUUGGAUGAUCCGGUGAGCUAUUCGGACUUUCGCAUUGUCGAUUUUCGGCUUUACGAGGGAAAGUCUCGCGAACCUUAUCAUCUAGAGGAAGGAGAAGUCGUAACA